rnacentral:rRNA from 1 species
UACGUAGGGUGCAAGCGUUGUCCGGAAUUACUGGGCGUAAAGAGUUCGUAGGCGGUUUGUCGCGUCGUUUUGUGAAAACUCACAGCUCAACUGUGAGCCUGCAGGCGAUACGGGCAGACUUGAGUACUGCAGGGGAGACUGGAAUUCCUGGUGUAGCGGUGAAAUGCGCAGAGUAUCAGGAGGAACACCGGUGGCGAAGGCGGGGUCUCUGGGCAGUAAACUGACGCU